CAAUAGCGUAUAUUUAAGUUGUUGCAGUUAAAAAGCUCGUAGUUGGAUUUCGGAUGGGACUUGCCGGUCCGUCGUUUCGAUGUGCACUGGCCAGCCCUAUCUUGUUGUCGGGGACUAGCUCCUGGGCUUCACUGUCCGGGACUAGGAGCUGACGAGGUUACUUUGAGUAAAUUAGAGUGUUCAAAGCAAGCCUACGCUCUGAAUACAUUAGCAUGGAAUAACACGAUAGGACUCUGGCUUAUCUUGUUGGUCUGUGAGACCAGAGUAAUGAUUAAGAGGGACAGUCGGGGGCAUUCGUAUUUCAUUGUCAGAGGUGAAAUUCUUGGAUUUAUGAAAGACGAACUUCUGCGAAAGCAUUUGUCAAGGAUGUUUUCAUUAA
rnacentral:rRNA from 1 species